CUGAUUGCUUUCGUAUGUUUGGAAUCGACUUGCCGGUAAUAACGCCAUUUCAUACGUAAUAUUCAUCGUAAACGUUUUUACUAAGAGCUUGGACACAACGCAUUUUUCGAGUGAAUAGUGAGAUUAUAUUCUCGAAAUGUUUACGAUUUAGCAUCAUUUAUACCCACAUUAUAUAGGAUGAGUGCCAGAUAAAUGCAGGGGAACGGGAAAUAUCGGCGGGUGAUUGCGACGUGCGUUGUUUUAGGAAGAGAUGCGCGCGCACAAUGGCCACGUAUAACAUCACGCGACAUAGGAAAAGAAUCGAGAGAGACGACCGAGAGAGAAUACGUACUCGGUUGUUUCUAGCGUGUGUGUGUGUAUGUUGUUAUUGUGUGUGUGCGCGCGCGCCCGCGCGAGGGAGCGUCACGGUGAGAUGAAACACCAGGAAAGAAGAGAAAGAAAGGAGUAUGUAUGGAAAAGAGAAACAGAAAAAGAUAGACGCAACAUUAUUCGAGUUCUAUAGUAGUUGAAAUACGCGCACACACAUAAGAGCGCUUAUAAUUUUUAUGCUACGCGCAGACUCGUGUUGACUAUCGAAGUUUGUUUUCAAUCAGCCAGCAUCGCGUGAACUUGUUGCCCGUAUAAUUGGUAUAGUAUUGCGUGAAAGUUUAAUGAACAAAAGCACAUCAUUGUUGCAUCAUCCACAUCAUAGAUGUGAUAAUCAACCAGAUAUCGACCAUAUCACAUCGAAGUAACAAAUCGAGAAAAAUGUUCGAUUGCAGAAGGAGCAUAUAUACUUUAUGUACAUCCUUGUACAGUACGUUCGUAUAAACGAAUAGGAAAUUGAGCUUUUGGCUUUUUAUACAAUUUUAUAAACAAUCGCUUGAAAACAACGUUUAAUUCAAACAUCGAGGAGAUUUAAUCGUUGAUCAGAAUCAACAAAUAUUAUUACGUAAAAAUGGAAUGCAUCGAACGAGUUUUUACGCUCUUAGCCUGAAAACACGACAGAUUUCUUGUCUAAAUAGAAAAUUUAAAGGACAAUGUUGUUUGGUCGCACAAAAUAACAGCAUAAACCGGUUUCUGCACGUGGCAAGAGUUGCUCGAUCGUGCCCGGUGAACCGGCAGUACCCGACUACAAUACCUACCACCAUGCUAUCGAUUUACGUAACUUUCUUCCACUUUUGACACACAUUCCUCCCUAAGUUAUUUUGAAGUUUCACGAUGACGAAACAGAAGAUAAGGCCAAAUGUGCGUUUGACUACAAGGUGAAAAGGAGUUUAAGGGUUGCGGGUUAUGUAAGUAUAUAUGUAUGUAACUUGAAGAGGCUUCGUAGCUAUGAAUAAUAAACGAAGGAGGGCAAUGUAAGCAGGUGCCAAAGGGAAAGACGUAAUCACGGAGAAACCAAGGAUGAGAAAAGAUAACAAAAGUUGAAUUUUCAAAAUGGUCACUGCUAGUUCAUAAUCGUGAUGUCGAUUGUUUUAGAUAGAAUCGAUCGUUUAAAUCGAUUUGGAAUACAUGUAUUUAUAACGGCGACGUGGGAGCUCGAUUACUACGACUCAUCGAACAAUAUUUGUAAAACCACGGAGAUGACCACGAAACUGUAUUGGUACAAAUUUAUCUAAUUACUUUAAAUUCUAUGCAUGACAUGAUGAAAUCAUCGCGAAUUCAUUAAUUUUAACGAGUUAUUAUCGUUCUUCGGUAACCAAUGACUCAUCCAAACGGGAUUAUCGCUGUACUCUAUCUAUUAUCGUUUAACGAAGCGAGAGAAAUGCGCGUUGCAAACUUGUAUUGUGAAUUCACCUAGUGACGUCUUUCAAAAAUAAACGAAAUUUUGGAUAAAUUACAGCGAUAUUUGGUUCUUGAAUAGCUAAUCGAAUUGUCAAGCUGUUAUCGUUAGAAUUCGAUUUGGAAUAAUGGUUAAUGACAUUUAGUUUAACAGUGAGAGAAGAAAACAGGUAAUGUGUGAACGAUGUGUGUAUUACAUAUCCGGUGUUAAUAAAGUUAAAGCAGAGUAAUUACGGAGUGAUACAAGACGCGCAUACUAUGUUAUGUAAUUUGCCAAGCCGAUCACUCAGAAUGAAUUGUUCAUCUCUCUAAAACUUUUAUUCAUAAACUUAUGCAUGUCUUUGAAUGAAGGUAUGGCUUAUUUAAAAGCAGGAUCGGCUAACAGUUAAGAAAUAGGUUAUGAUGAUUCGAAUUUGAAUAUUUUGGCGUUUAAUAUAACCUUUAAUAAGUCGAGCAAUAACAACGACGACAGGUUAUGAAAACCGAUAAGAUAGUUUAAACGAAUAAUAAUACCGAAGUAGAUAGAUUUUCAGAGUUUUACGUAAUAUAAAUCGUUGGAUAAAACAAUCGGGAUUGAUACGUGGAAAAAAAGAAGUUGGUAAAUACGAUAGAGGGCGAAAAAGAACCGAAUUUGUUCGAAUUACGUUACUUGUUUAAAAGAUAGUGAGAAGUAAUUGUGAUUUUCUUAUUUUGAGUGUUCACGCAUGGCUAUGCGAAUUCGCGAUUGCAAAUAUUUUCGAAAAGAAAUUGCCGUCGAAUAAAUUUUCUCAAGAGCUAAUUGAUCCAUAAGCAACGAAGAUAAAAGGAGCGAGAACGAUAUACUCGACGAGCGUCGAUUGUCGAGCGUCGAGCGUGAAGGCAUGAUUUCACGCAGCACGUGGAUCCACGAUUCAGGGUCAAAUAAUAGGACGCGCAGAAGUUUUUGUCCAAGGUCUUCCGCAUGAUAUUCAGUUUUGGUUGACUGUUUUAUCACGCGUAAAUUUUACACAACACCUUUGACGUUUUGUAUUUUUUGUUUGAAUGGCAAGCUUAUUUAUGCUUUGGAAGCGAUAAAUUACAUACAGACUUAUAUCUACCUAUACCUACUUUCAAGAAGAGAACGAUGCGUCGUAGGUAUAUGUUUGGUUAUUGCAACUAAUCUAAUUCUAUUCGAUAUCAUAGUAAAAAGAUAUCUUGCUACAAUGUACAAGAAUUCGGAACUCCUUUUUCCUUUCAAAGUUUGAUCCUUUUUGAUUCGCCACGACAAUGUAUAUAGGAGCAAUAUUCGCAUACUUCGUAUCGUAUAAAUACAUAAAUGUAUGUACAUGUAAUUCAUUACUCGUUAUCUUAAGAUCAAAGGGACGUAUAUACAUAUAUCCGUUGAUAGAUAUUAUCGAAUGGUAUCGAAAGCGAGAGAAAGAGAGAAUGAGCACCUUGAAUAGCGUAGAGUAUAGAAUGUAUGAAACAGUAUUACCAAGAGAGAGCGAGAGCGAGGGUGAGGGCGAGGGCGAGGGCGAGAGAGAGAAAAGUAUCAAUCAUAUUUCCAAAAAGAUUUUUAUUUGUAAUUCUAUCGUUAGGUAUUGCUUAAAGUUCUCACUAAAUCUAGUAGAUUCUUACGACGACGUAAUAAGACGCGGAAAUAAUUUAGUUCGUUUGUGACCGCAUCGGUACAGUUAGUAUCAGAAUUAAUUGCAAAUCCACGUUUUCGCGAGCGAAUUAAUCAAAGUCUUAGUUUAUAAAUUAAGCCAAUAUUUAUAAACACUUAAUAAACUGUAAAUUAAGGAGAGGAUACGAGAAUUUCGAUGAUUAACAGUGUACGGUUUGAAAAACGGACGAAACCAUCCUCCGUGAAAAAUGCCAACGAACUUGCUUGACCCGAGAGAAAGACCAGUGGCCUGAUCUGGUAUCGAUCACACAUCAAAUUUUCUACGAUUCUGCGUUUCGUAGCUUUACCGUAUUCCAUGUUUUUCGCCGAUCGGAUCGUUAAAACAUCAAACCGGUACUAUCCAAUAGCAACCUUGCAUUUGCCAGUUUCUACGAUCUACCCUAUAGGCUCUGUAGCCUUGACUUUAUUGUAGCAAACGCGUAUAGAUUUACAUACAUAUGUGCCUGAGUACCUUUAUUAUGACUGUGUCGCGAUAUCGCUAUCUCUCUUUUCCCCCUUUUCUUUUUGUAGCAACGACAUGCAAAUUAUAUUCAUCAGCGAAACUUGUCGCGUGUAUCUGUCUCUUCUUCUUUUAUCUUAUUUCCCAGAAACGAACAUCCUUAUAGAUUCGCCUUCAUAAGGAUCCCUUUUGCGGUGAUACGUAAUGUACGUACUACUUAGGUAUGUACAUGCGAUCAAUGAUGUCUCGUGAUAGUUCAACGCACACCAAAUAAAAAGAUAGAAAAUAGUAAAUAUUUUCUGCGGAACGAGCGCGAUAAGAUUAAGCAAGUGGUACUUCUCUUUCGCUUCUUGCGAUGUACAAAGCGCGAUUCCUAGCGAUAAAGACAAGCUGUUGAACAAGCGAAUCGAAGGCAAACUCGCGAAUAGAUAAUGAGAAUAUUAGAAGUGAAUUAAAGGCGAAUACCCGAAUAGAAAUGCGACGAGGUUCGAAUUGUCAGAUAAUUUUCGAAGAUCGGACAUUUUGGACGAAUAUAUAAUCGUAUUACGUGUAAUCUGACCUAUUACGAGAAACGAGAUAACGAGUUCGUCUCACGUGAUAUAUUGAUAUACUUGUCUGCGCGACAUUGACCAGAAAUGUUUUUACAAAACAAAUAUCCGAGAGAGGGAAGAGAAUAACGUUGCUUGCGCGUUGAUAUUCUUACGAUAAAAUUAUACAAGUUUGCACGAUAUCGAUAACGUCGUUAUUGAUAAGCUUGUAAAUAAACAAUAAAUUCUGUAAUCUAUA